CCUACGGGAGGCAGCAGUGGGGAAUCUUGGACAAUGGGCGCAAGCCUGAUCCAGCCAUGCCGCGUGGGUGAUGAAGGCCCUAGGGUUGUAAAGCCCUUUCGGCGGGGAAGCGGUACCCGCAGAAGAAGCCCCGGCUAACUUCGUGCCAGCAGCCGCGGUAAUACGAAGGGGGCUAGCGUUGCUCGGAAUCACUGGGCGUAAAGCGCACGUAGGCGGACUCUUAAGUCGGGGGUGAAAUCCUGGAGCUCAACUCCAGAACUGCCUUCGAUACUGGGAGCCUUGAGUUCGGGAGAGGUGAGUGGAACUGCGAGUGUAGAGGUGAAAUUCGUAGAUAUUCGCAAGAACACCAGUGGCGAAGGCGGCUCACUGGCCCGAACUGACGCUGAGGUGCGAAAGCGUGGGGAGCAAACAGGAUUAAUACCCUUGUAGUC
rnacentral:rRNA from 1 species